AAUAUUGGACAAUGGGCGCAAGCCUGCCGACGCAACGCCGCGUGGAGGAUGAAGACCCUCGGGUCGUAAACUCCUUUCGACCGAGAUGAACAUCCAUGGGGCUAAUACUCCCGUGGUCUGCCAGUAUCGGGAGAAGACGCCCCGGCUAACACCGUGCCAGCAGCCGCGGUAAUACGGGGGGGGCAAGCGUUGUUCGGAAUUACUGGGGGUAAAGAGUCCGUAGGCGGCCAACUAAGUCAGACGUGAAAUCCCCCGGCUUAACCGGGGAACUGCGUCUGAUACUGGUUGGCUUGAGUGCAGGAGAGGAACGCGGAAUUCCAGGUGUAGCGGUGAAAUGCGUAGAUAUCUGGAGGAACACCGGUGGCGAAGGCGGCGUUCUGGACUGUAACUGACGCUGAGGGACGAAAGCCAGGGGAGCAAACGGG
rnacentral:rRNA from 1 species